rnacentral:rRNA from 1 species
UGAGGAUUUGAUCCUGGUCCAGGAUGAACGCUAGCGACGUGCUUUAGGCAUGCAAGUAGAACGGAACGUAACAUUUUGCGCAAGCGAAAUUAUACGUUCAGUUGCGAACGGCUGAGUAUAAAAUAGGAAUCUACCCAAUGGUGUGGAAUACCUUAUCGAAAGAUGAGCUAAUACCACAUGACCCCGCAAGGGAAAAGCGCUUAACCGCGCGCCGAUGGAUGAGCCUAUUUCCCAUCAGUUAGUUGGUAGGGUAAUGGCCUACCAAGACUAUGACGGGUAGGGGAUUUGAGAGGAUGACCCCCCAGAAUGGGACUGAGACACGGCCCAUACACCUACGGGUGGCAGCAACCGGGAAUCGUGCGCAAUGGACGAAAGUCUGACGCCGCGACGUCGCGUGAAGGAUGAAGGCCGUUUGGUCGUAAACUUCUUUUGCCAUAAGGGUGACCUUGUGGAGAAUAAGCACCUGCUAACUCUGUGCCAGCAGCCGCGGUAAUACAGAGGGUGCAAGCGUUAUCCGGAUUUACUGGGCGUAAAGCGUUUCGUAGGCGGUUUGGUAAGUUAUAAUUCAAAGACCACGGCUUAACC